ensembl:lncRNA
GCGUUUAUCAGGAGCUGCUUUUCCACUUGGGAUACCCAUGCAGCUGUUACGCUGCUCUCUGCUGGGUGAAAAGAUAAAUCCUCCAGCCAGAGAAGGCAAAUCACCAGCUUAUUUGUUUAUUUCCAGUAUCAUCUUCUGGAGGCUGAAGGCGUAGCAGGGGAGCAGCCGUGCGGGCUGCUUGCUGAGCAGACUGCUUGUGAUGCUGCCCGCGUCGCUGGCACGGGGCCAGCCGGGCUUUGGCCCUUGGCACUGGGGCUGCAGGAUGGAUGGGAUGCCAUGUGCUCUCCGCACUCCCAGCCCGGGGAGCUGGCUCGGAGCAGGCUGGGGCACGCUCCCAGGCACGCGCUCGCCUUCCAUGGAUCCAGCAGGCUGCCUGCUCCCGUCUGUCUGUCAGAGCUCCUGGGCCUCGCCGGGCAGCCCCUGCCAGGACGGCAUGAAUGAAACUCUGGUCAAAUCCUGAUUAUCCUGAGCACCUGUGUUAUUCUGGGGUCCUAGAACCGGCUCCUGUCAUUUUCACUGCCGCAAGGGAGGGAGUGGGCACUUCAUUUGCAGUCCAACUGCAGAGCCUUGGCAGUCUUCCAGAGCUGAGAUUGUGCCCAUGUGGGUUUUCUGUGCUUGAUUAAAUCACAAUAUUUCCUCUGGCUCUGAAGCCAGAAAGCACCAUUAGCUCUUCAAGACUGGCCACCUGCAUAGUCCAGAUCAGGGACUCCCUUCCAAUGGCUUCUGCUUUGUGCCUGAAAGCUUCUGGUGGAGCUGUGAUUUCCUUGUCAGAAGACGUCUCAUCUUUGUAGAGAUGUUACUUGUGAUGGCAAACACCUGUGCUGUGGUAGUCUUUCCAGGUGUUUAAGCACCCCUUACUGUUAAGAAUCUGCUUCCCCAGCGUGCUUGAUGAGUCUUGUUUGGCAUUGCUUCUCUUUUGUGGUCUUUGAUUGCCUGUGGGCACUUUGUUAUGACACCUAGCACCUCUCUUCUUCACAGAGUUUGGAUCCUUCCUAGUCCCCAUGGAUGUAGAUGUUUGAUUGGUGAUUUGCCCUGAGCUCACCAUUCUGCCCACAUCUCACUACAGAUAUUUAGAAAAGAAAGUAAUCCUCAGUGGGUAGCAAGACAUGUCUGUAUUAAUUUCAUAAGAAUGUUUUUCUAGUUCAAAGUAUUCAAAGUAAUAAUAUGGAUGUUUCAAGGCUCAAAAUAAAUGUUUUCAUGGCACAA